rnacentral:rRNA from 1 species
GAUGAACGCUGGCGGCGUGCCUAAUACAUGCAAGUCGAGCGAACGGACGAGAAGCUUGCUUCUCUGAUGUUAGCGGCGGACGGGUGAGUAACACGUGGAUAACCUACCUAUAAGACUGGGAUAACUUCGGGAAACCGGAGCUAAUACCGGAUAAUAUUUUGAACCGCAUGGUUCAAAAGUGAAAGACGAUCUUGCUGUCACUUAUAGAUGGAUCCGCGCUGCAUUAGCUAGUUGGUAAGGUAACGGCUUACCAAGGCAACGAUGCAUAGCCGACCUGAGAGGGUGAUCGGCCACACUGGAACUGAGACACGGUCCAGACUCCUACGGGAGGCAGCAGUAGGGAAUCUUCCGCAAUGGGCGAAAGCCUGACGGAGCAACGCCGCGUGAGUGAUGAAGGUCUUCGGAUCGUAAAACUCUGUUAUUAGGGAAGAACAUAUGUGUAAGUAACUGUGCACAUCUUGACGGUACCUAAUCAGAAAGCCACGGCUAACUACGUG